rnacentral:misc_RNA from 1 species
GUCCCCUGAAAGUCAUUGCAACUCAAGUCCAAAUAGUUAAGAUGUUGCAACUCAAGCAAUGAAUGAUUAAUUUUACCUCUCAAGGGCUUGUUACUAUCACCAAGCUCGGAGACAUGAAGAUCAAGCAUAGUGACGUGACCAGUUUGGAAGCUGCACUGGAUUCCUCUCCAUUUGCAACAAUCUCUCUUGGCUUCUUCACUCCCCCAAGAAGAGAG